UACGGAGGGUGCAAGCGUUAUCCGGAUUUACUGGGUUUAAAGGGUGCGCAGGCGGAUAUGUAAGUCAGUGGUGAAAUCUUUGGGCUUAACCCGAAAAUUGCCAUUGAUACUAUAUAUCUUGAAUGCUGUGGAGGUAAGCGGAAUAUGUCAUGUAGCGGUGAAAUGCUUAGAGAUGACAUAGAACACCUAUUGCGAAGGCAGCUUACUACGCAGAUAUUGACGCUCAUGCACGAAAGCGUGGGGAUAAAACAGG
rnacentral:rRNA from 1 species